CUCCUUUUGGGACAUUAAAAGGUAUUCUCUGCUCCAUGAAUUUUAAAUAGCCGCAGUAUCUUGACUGUGCUAAGGUAGCAUAGUAAUUUGUUCUAUAAUUGAGGACUAGAAUGAAAGAGUUGACAAUAUUCAAGCUUUUCUAAAAAAAAACAUGGAAUUUGAUUUUUUCAUCAAAAAGUGAAAAUAAACUUAAGGGACGAUAAGACCCUAUAAAGCUUCAUAAUAAUUAAAUACUUUUACCAGGAACUAUAAAAGCAACAUAAUUAUUAUUGGGCUGGGGCGGCAUCCAAUUUUGCAAUGGAAAACUUAACACAAAUAAGUGAUUAUAAAGAUCUUAAAUAGAGCUAGAAUAAGCUACUUUAGGGAUAACAGCACAAUUUUAUUUUAGAGAUCUUAUCGAAAAUAAAGACUUGUGACCUCGAUGUUGAAUUGAAGAGCCUUUUUCAAGCAGAAAUGAGAAUAGGAAGUCUGUUCGACUUUUAAUCCUUC
rnacentral:rRNA from 1 species